rnacentral:sRNA from 1 species
GUUCCUGCCUUGAUGAUAAUGGACUGAACUUCUGAACCUACAUAUCAAGCCCGGAGUGUGCCAGGCGCCUGUUGUUGCAAUGAACACCAGAAUCAACCGUUAGCCAGAAUCCUGCCUGUAGCCGGAAUCCAUGACCCUGAGCUCGGAGGCCAUCUCUCUGAAGAGGACGAGGCUGGGCAUGAUGAAGUUCCCUGGGCCUCAUCCAUAAAAAGCUCCAGCACGAUUCACCCUCUUUCUGUUGAAAACUAGGGAAGCAGAGUGCAGGAAGGAAGAACCAAGCUAAAACAGCUCCUCCUUGCCUCUCUGGAUUUUCUUCCAAAAUGCUGUCAGCAUUGCCAGUUGGAAAAUAUUCUUCUCCCUCCCUUUGUCUUCUUUCUUAUUAAAAAAAAAAAAAAAAAAGCCAUCUGGUGUCAAAUUCACUCCUGGCACAUCAUAAAGGGUAGCACUAAAAAUGUCCCUGAAAAACUAAAAGCAAAACCACAGCCUUACAACAUGAAUUUAAUCGCAGCAUCCCAUAAUUUCAGAGUUGCUAGGAGCCCGG